rfam:TPA: Bos taurus chromosome 22, whole genome shotgun sequence.
UCCCUGGUGGUCCAAUGGUUAAGACACUGCACUUCCACUGCAGGGGCCAUGGGUUCGAUCCCUGGUUGGGGGA